rnacentral:rRNA from 1 species
GAUAAACGCUGGCGGCGUGCCUUAUGCAUGCAAGUCGAACGGUUCCGAUUUAUCGGGAUAGUGGCAAACGGGUGUGUAACGCGUAAGUAAUCUACCCUCAAGUAGGGGAUAACUCUGAGAAAUUGGAGCUAAUACCUUAUGUGGUGAUGGAGUUAAUGCUUCAUCAUUAAAGCCUUCGGGUGCUUGAGGAGGAGCUUGCGUCCGAUUAGCUAGUUGGUAGGGUAAUGGCUUACCAAGGCAGUGAUCGGUAGCUGGUUUGAGAGGAUGGUCAGCCACACUGGGAUUGAGAUACGGCCCAGACUCCUACGGGAGGCAGCAGCAAGGAGUAUUGUGCAAUGGGCGAAAGCCUGACACAGCGACGCCGCGUGGGGGAAGAAGGCCUUCGGGUUGUAAACCCCUUUUCUCAGGGAAGAAUAAUGACGGUACCUGAGGAAGAAGUCACGGCUAACUACGUGCCAGCAGCCGCGGUAAUACGUAGGUGACAAGCGUUAUCCGGAUUUACUGGGUGUAAAGAGGGCGUAGGCGGCUUUUCAAGUCGAGUAUAAAAUCUCCCGGCUUAACUGGGAGGGAUUAUUCGAUACUGUUGGGCUAGAGGACAGUAGAGGGAGGUGGAAUUCCCGGUGUAGUGGUGAAAUGCGUAGAUAUCGGGAGGAACACCAGUGGCGAAGGCGGCCUCCUGGGCUGUUGCUGACGCUGAGGCCCGAAAGCGUGGGGAGCGAACAGGAUUAGAUACCCUGGUAGUCCACGCUGUAAACUAUGGACACUAGGUAUAGGGAGUAUCGACCCUCUCUGUGCCGAAGCUAACGCUUUAAGUGUCCCGCCUGGGGACUACGGCCGCAAGGCUAAAACUCAAAGGAAUUGACGG